GAUGAACGCUAGCGGCAGACCUAAUACAUGCAAGUCGAACGGUGUCUUCGGACAUAGUGGCGCACGGGUGCGUAACACGUAUGCAACCUACCUUACAUUGGGGGACAGCCUUUCGAAAGGGAGAUUAAUACCGCAUAAGACAGUAGCUGGGCAUCCAGCAGCUGUUAAAGAUUUAUCGAUGUAAGCUGGGCAUGCGUCCAAUUAGCUAGUUGGUGAGGUAACGGCUCACCAAGGCAAUGAUUGGUAAGGGAACUGAGAGGUCAAUCCCCCACACUGGCACUGAGAUGCGGGCCAGACUCCUACGGGAGGCAGCAGUAGGGAAUAUUGGGCAAUGGACGCAAGUCUGACCCAGCCAUGCCGCGUGCAGGAUGAAGGCGUUAUGCGUUGUAAACUGCUUUUAUACAGGAAGAAACGACUCUUGCGAGAGGCAUUGACGGUACUGUAUGAAUAAGCACCGGCUAACUCCGUGCCAGCAGCCGCGGUAAAAC
rnacentral:rRNA from 1 species